AUUACAGGCGUGAGCUACCGCGCCCAGCCAGAAGGUAUUAUUAAGACAAUUUCAACAGUAAUUUGCGGAGAAAUAAAAUCAGUAAAGGAAGAAAGAUUGAAAUACAACAGAAACAAGAAAUAAUAAAUGCAGGAAAAUUCUAGAGAAACUAAGAUAGGCUAGAGUCAGAAAUGUAAAUAGAACUUAGUUUUGAUGGAGAACAAAACAGUUGUAAGAGGACAGAAGAUGAUUUGUAAUGUAGAGAAAUUAAGAUUAAAAAUGAUAGCAGUUGGGAAAGUGUGUUAUUGGCUUACAUCACAUUGACUAAGAGUUCUCAGCACUACCUUACAUGUAGGGAAUCUUUAAGAAAACAGUCUACGUAGAACAUAGAACAUAGUCUAUGUUCUACAUAGACUGUUUUCGUCCUUUACCAUGACUCCACUAGCUUUGUCAGAAUCCUUUCUUUAACCAGGGUUCUAGUUAUGUUACCCAUCUUGACAAAGGACCAUCAUUGCCUCUCUUCAAACUUCAUAGCAGCCCUCAUCAUUAAUCUGGACACAGGUCAAACCUGUCCAGGGACCCUCAGCCAGUUCUGCUCUCAAUAAAAAAGUUACUUUUUAUUGUCCACUUUUAUGUGGUCAAUUAUUUUGACUCAAGUAAAAGAAGAACAAUGCAGCAAGAGAAUUGAGGAUAUUUUUGAGAAUGGAUUCAACUUCUGGAUAUCACAAACCAAAUUGUGGCACAGAAAGACAAUUCAUAAAUGUCUUCUUCAAAAUGGGCCAAUUAGGCCGAAGUUGAGAAUUUGGGGAAAAGUACAAAAUUGAGAUGAUCAAGAACUAAUUCUAGCUACAUUGCUGAAUGGAAAAACUAAGUAACAUGAAGCAGAUAACCUAUCUGUUGAUAACUGAGACUAAGAAAAUACAAACUAUUGAAAAAGUGAUGUGAUAUGACUUUAACUUAGCAUGAAAUGAAGAGACACCAGAGUAUAUACAGUAAGUCUAUAAUCAGUAAUGUCUCAUUCAUGUAUGUCACCCACCUUUAAGUUUAGCCAAUUAUCAAAAUACAGUUAUAUAACUACUUUUCCAUAUUUUUGUAAGGUAAAUGUAUAAUUACUGAAAGUAAAAAAUAGUCGGAAUGCAACAUAUAGCAACAGUAAAAACAAAAAACAACAAAAGAUAAUUAUUUAGGAUUGAAGCAGAAUAACAAAAAAGAGUGAAAAAAUGCAAAAGAAAAUUAAAUAUAGCAAUAACCAUUAUCAUAUAAUAAACUGGAAGGCACUAAAUUUCAAUCAUAUUUGCUGAAAGACAUUACAAAAGUUACUAGUAAAUUACUGUUGCUAUUACCUCUUAUGUUUCCUUUCACAUUAACCCACAUAAAUAAAAUACUUAUAAAUUUACUCUUUAGUUUUUAAUCAAUUUUAUAAACUAUUUUAUUAUCAACUCUUAGUUAAUUUCAUAGGGAUGAAGGAAGUCACACAUAACUCUAAAUCACUUAGAAACAACAGUCAAGGUGACCAACCAUGGCACAUAAUUCCUAAUUUAUACUAGCUAAGCCUUCCACCACAUUAUUUCUUUACCUAAAGGAUCUCAAAUGUUGUCACUGGCUCAAAUCUCUAAAUCUCCAUACAGCCUUGAGAACUUUUCAGAUUUUAGAGAUCUUCUCUCUCUUUUCUUUCUAAUUAACCCCUCUUUCUAGUUAACCCUUCUUGCUAUUAUAUGCCAGGUAACUGAGAUUUCCCUCCAAUGUAAAUUAUAUUUCCUUAAGGCAUUGUAGCUGUACUAUCUAUGAUUCACUGCAAAUUCCCACUUUGGAAAGAGAAAUGGUGGUAGGGUAGAAAUGAACAAGUGUUUUCUCACAGACUCAGUAUUCUCUGCAGAUAAGGAUUAUCUACUAUGACAAAGGAGUAGAUUACAGCCACCUCUGACAAGGCAACCACAAACAAAUCAGUUCAACCUAAGCACUUCAAGGACAGAUUCCUCUACUCUGGAGGUGGGAAAGUGAGUUUUCAAGACCUAUGCCAUCUAAAUACCUAAUUAUGGACUCUGCUGAGGAAGGUGAGUAGUCAACUGGAGUUAAUUUAAAGAUAAUACUGUUAUUCUAUAUUUGUAGAUAAAUAGAGAGUUAACUGUAAUUCCUGAUGAACUAAAUUUUUAGAAUCACCAAAGAGAUUCUCCUAAUUUACAAAAGGGACACUGUAUUUUUUAUGUCCUACUACAAUUAGUUAAUACGUUUUAUUUCAUGUUAUUUUAUGUGGGUGAUAUUUCUAUAUUUCAUUAACAACCAUAUAUGUAUAUACAUAAAAACAGAAAUAAAAGUGAACUAUAUCAUAUCAAUACACAGGCACAAGCAAUUCCACAAACAGACUCAAUUGUAAGAAAA
rnacentral:lncRNA from 1 species